AGAGUUUGAUUCUGGCUCAGGAUGAACGCUAGCUACAGGCUAACACAUGCAAGUCGAGGGGCAGCAUGGGGUAGCAAUACUCAGAUGGCGACCGGCGCACGGGUGAGUAACACGUAUCCAACCUGCCGCUUACUCGGGGAUAGCCUUUCGAAAGAAAGAUUAAUACCCGAUGGUAUAAAGAGUUCGCAUGUUCUCUUUAUUAAAGAAUUUCGGUAAGCGAUGGGGAUGCGUUCCAUUAGAUAGUUGGCGGGGUAACGGCCCACCAAGUCUACGAUGGAUAGGGGUUCUGAGAGGAAGGUCCCCCACAUUGGAACUGAGACACGGUCCAAACUCCUACGGGAGGCAGCAGUGAGGAAUAUUGGUCAAUGGACGAGAGUCUGAACCAGGCCAAAAGGUAGCGUGAAGGAUGACUGCCCUAUGGGUUGUAAACUUUCUUUUAUAAGGGAAUAAAGUGAGGGACGUGUCCCUUUUUGUAUGUACCUUAUGAAUAAGGAUCGGCUAACUCCGUGCCAGCCGCGGC
rnacentral:rRNA from 1 species